rnacentral:rRNA from 1 species
AUACGGAGGGUGCAAGCGUUGUUCGGAAUUAUUGGGCGUAAAGCGCGUGUAGGCGGUUGUUUAAGUCUGAUGUGAAAGCCCUGGGCUCAACCUGGGAAGUGCAUUGGAAACUGGACAACUUGAGUACGGGAGAGGGUAGUGGAAUUCCUAGUGUAGGAGUGAAAUCCGUAGAUAUUAGGAGGAACACCGGUGGCGAAGGCGGCUACCUGGACCGAUACUGACGCUGAAGCGCGAAGGCAUGGGUAGC